rnacentral:lncRNA from 1 species
AAAAAACAGGCAGAUGUGAGGAUAAACUGCUUAAUUCCAUGAGUUUUGCAUACUUGAGCACGAGAGAGGGGUGAGGAGGAGGAGGAGAAGGAGAAAGGAUUUGGAUAGUAUUACAUGUGUGGGCCAGAACUGGUUCUUCAAAUCACAGAGUUGGUACUCGAACCUAUGGAAGGAGACUGAUAGCAUGGAUUCUGCUAUGUGUGUAAUUACUCACAGAGAUCAUAGAAGACUGCUGUCUUCAGAUGCUCGACCCGAACCUCCUCAAAGCUACAGGCACAGAUAUUUUCUCUUUUCUUAAUUUCUUCCAACAAGUUUAAAGUUAAACUACUUUGAUGGAGAAUAUUAUAAUCCUAAGCAAGGACAUACAGAUAGGUGUGCCAUCACAGGUAUUUCAAUCUGCAGAUGGGGAUUCUGCCAAUGAGAAUCAAUUAAAACAAUUGUCUUCUGCCUAUGGAUGGAAUUGCAGUUCCAGGAUAUUCGGCACCCUGAGAUCUGGGAAAGCAGAGGGUCUCUUCCUGGAUGCAUCCCUGUGAUUAAUCUGUAUUUAGACUUCUCAGCAAGAGUCCAGAUUUUUACAGCUGCUAAUCACCCACAGUUGUCAUUAACUUCAAUGGGUAACUCCUGCUGAAUCCGGGCUUUUCCACACCUGUUGGAUUUUCCAACUACUUAGUUUUUCCAUCUGAUGAUGAGGGGGCAGAGGAAGCGAUUGCUGCGCCUUCAGAAGAUAACUGCAAA